GUCCCGCCUCCCCCACCCCCUUCCCCGAAAUGGUCCUGAGCAGGAACGGGAGAGACGGCCCGGGAAAGGGAGAGUGCCACAGGCCGUGGAGACCGUGCCAUCCUAAGCAAUCCCUUUCCCCUCUAGUUCCCAUCUGUCACCUUGGGAGUGAAGGGGCAGCUCGAAGAGAUGAUGAAACUGAGGCCAAGCAGAGAGGAGAGACUUGCUCCUAGAGCACUAGUUGGUGGCAGAGUUGACUCUCUGGAAGACCUAUGGAGGAAAGGUCUGGAGAGACAGAGGAAGAAAGAGAUAGAAACAUGGAUGAGAGACAAACAUCGAU